UACGGAGGGGGCUAGCGUUGUUCGGAAUUACUGGGCGUAAAGCGCGCGUAGGCGGACCUGCAAGUCGGGGGUGAAAGCCCGAGGCUCAACCUCGGAACUGCCUUCGAUACUGCGGGUCUCGAGUCCGGGAGAGGUGAGUGGAAUUCCUAGUGUAGAGGUGAAAUUCGUAGAUAUUAGGAAGAACACCAGUGGCGAAGGCGGGUUGCUGGGCUGACACUGACGCUGAUGCGCGAAAGCCAGGGGAGCGAACGGG
rnacentral:rRNA from 1 species